UUGACGCUGAGACUGGUACUUGUACUAGUUGGAUGAGUAGCGAACGGGUGAGUAACGCGUGGGUAACCUACCUCUUAGCGGGGGACAACUAUUGGAAACGAUAGCUAAUACCGCAUAACAAUAUUUAACACAUGUUAAGUAUUUGAAAGCACCAAUUGGUGCACUAAGAGAUGGACCCGCGUUGUAUUAGCUAGUUGGUAGUGUAAUGGACUACCAAGGCGAUGAUACAUAGCCGACCUGAGAGGGUGAUCGGCCACAUUGGGACUGAGACACGGCCCAAACUCCUACGGGAGGCAGCAGUAGGGAAUCUUCGGCAAUGGACGAAAGUCUGACCGAGCAACGCCGCGUGAGUGAAGAAGGUUUUCGGAUCGUAAAACUCUGUUGUUAGAGAAGANCGUCAGUGAGAGUGGAAAGUUCACUGAGUGACGGUAUCUAACCAGAAAGGGACGGCUAACUACGUGCCAGCAGCCGCGGUAAUACGUAGGUCCCGAGCGUUGUCCGGAUUANUUGGGCGUAAAGCGAGCGCAGGUGGUUUAAUAAGUCUGAUGUAAAGGCAGUGGCUCANCCNUUGUGUGCAUUGGAAACUGUUAGACUUGAGUGCAGUANAGGAGAGUGGAAUUCCAUGUGUAGCGGUGAAUGCCNUANA
rnacentral:rRNA from 1 species